GACGAACCGAGCGAACGUUAUUCGGAAUCACUGGGCUUAAAGGGCGCGUAGGCGGGCGAUCAAGUCAGGGGUGAAAGCCUCCAGCUCAACUGGAGAAGUGCCUCUGAUACUGGUGGCCUCGAGGGAGGUAGGGGCGUGCGGAACUUCCGGUGGAGCGGUGAAAUGCGUAGAUAUCGGAAGGAACACCGGUGGCGAAAGCGGCGCGCUGGACCUCUUCUGACGCUGAGGCGCGAAAGCCAGGGGAGCAAACGGG
rnacentral:rRNA from 1 species